GUGGGCACGUUGUCGUCCAGAGAGCAAGAGCGUCGCUCCCCCUCGCCUUCUCGGCCGCCCUCCCGGUUUACCGCCCCCUGUGUCCAGAGUAAGAAAAGGCUAGGGUUGCGCUUCCCUCCCAAGUUGACUAGGGGUGGGCGCGAGUAAAAUCAUGACAUAUUCGAAUUCCAGUGGACAUUAGAUAUUCUUUGAGAGACGGCAGGUACUUGAGUAAACAAGAAAUGCCCACCAUAGGCCUGAAGGAGAAGUUUCCCUUUUAACCUACUCUCUUGGAUCACAGAUGGAGAGACAUUUUGCCACACGAUGAAUCACACACCACAUCUCAUCCCCGAGCUUCAGCUGCAGGACAAUGCUGCCAGAGGCCUGGUCCUCAGAGCUCACGUAAGCAUCUCUGGUGUGCAGUAUUUUUACUCCGUUUUUGACCAAAGACACCUGAACAUUCCUGGAGAAAACAGUGAUGUGGAUCUUAUCAAAUUUAAUGGGCACAUCUGAAGAAGGAAACUUGCUCAGCACCGUGAGCCCCACAGUGAAAGCACUUUUUGGCAAGACUAGAGUCUCACCGAUUUUCCCUUUCUCUCCUCGAUCUCCUUUCCAGCCUCUUAUUCCCCGGACUCCUGGCUCACCCUGGGGCCCCGUGGGUCCAGCUUCUCCCUUGGGACCAGGCUUUCCAAUAGGGCCCAUGGGGCCCGGUAAACCAGUUGGGCCCAAAGGCCCAAUGUUGCCCCUUGGCCCCUCAGGACCAGUGGGACCCACGUCACCCUUAUUCCCCUUCUGCCCCUGAGGCCCAGUCUCUCCUCGGAGGCCUUUCUCUCCCAUGGGCCCUGCAAGCCCCUUGGGGCCAUGUUUUCCUGGGGAUCCUCUUGAGCCUUGAUCACCUUUGAUGCCUUUUGCUUCAACUUUUCCAUCUGCUCCUAAAUAGAGAAAGAGCAAAUAAAGAGAUAGUUUGUGAAAGA